ensembl:lncRNA
UCCAGAUUGCACAACGCUUUCUUUCCACUCUCCUUAUGUUUCAGGUCUUGGAUCUGUUUGUGGGCUCCUGCACACUGAUAUCCAUCUCACCCGCUUCUAAGUGUCCGUCACAGCCGGCGUGGAAACCUGGAGGUUCCCUCCAGAUUUCACAAUGCUUUCUUUCCACUCUCCUUGUGUUUCAGGUCUUGGACCUCUUUGUGGGCUCCUGCACACUGAUAUCCAUCUCACCCGCUUCUAAGUGUCCGUCACAGCCGGCGUGGAAACCUGGAGGUUCCCUCCAGAUUUCACAACGCUUUCUUUCCACUCUCCUUGUGUUUCAGGUCUUGGAUCUGUUCCUGGGCUCCUGCACACUGAUAUCCAUCUCACCCGCUUCUAAGUGUCCGUCACAACCAGCGUGGAAAGCUUGAGGUUCCCUCCAGAUUUCACAACGCUUUCUUUCCACUCUCCUUGUGUUUCAGGUCUUGGAUCUGUUUGUGGGCUCCUGCACACUGAUAUCCAUCUCACCUGCUUCUAAGUGUCCGUC